rnacentral:tRNA from 1 species
GGUUCCAUGGUGUAAUGGUCAGCACCCUGGGGCGUGAAUCCAGUGAUUUGAGUUCAGGUCUUGGUGGGACCU